rnacentral:rRNA from 1 species
AUUGAACGCUGGCGGCAGGCUUAACACAUGCAAGUCGAGCGAGCGGCGGACGGGUGAGUAAUGUCUGGGAAACUGCCUGAUGGGGGGGGAUAACUACUGGAAACGGUAGCUAAUACCGCAUACCAUCAGAUGUGCCCAGAUGGGAUUCGCUAGUAGGUGGGGUAAUGGCGCACCUAGGCGACGAUCCCUAGCUGGUCUGAGAGGAUGACCAGCCACAAUGGAACUGUGAAACGGUCCAGACUCCUACGUGAGGCAGCAGUGGGGAAUAUUGCACAAUGGGCGCAAGCCUGAUGCAGCCAUGCCGCGUGUGUGAAGAAGGCCUUCGGGUUGUAAAGCACUUUCAGCGGGGAGGCGUUACCCGCAGAAGAAGCACCGGCUAACUCCGUGCCAGCGGCCGCGGUAAUAC